rnacentral:rRNA from 1 species
CUUGGCGGCGAGCGGCGGACGGCUGAGUAACGCGUGGGAAUCUGCCCCAAAGUGAGGGAUAACUGCCCGAAAGGGUAGCUAAUACCGCAUAUGGUCUUCGGAUUAAAGCAUUUAUUCGCUUUGGGAGGAGCCCGCGUCGGAUUAGGUAGUUGGUAGGGUAAUGGCCUACCAAGCCGCGAUCCGUAGCUGGUCUGAGAGGAUGAUCAGCCAGACUGGGACUGAGACACGGCCCAG